AAAUAAGAAACAAAUAAUUGUAUUUAGUUUCGACCUAAAAUUAUGAUAUUAAUAAUAUCCUUAUUUA
rnacentral:tRNA from 1 species